ACUCAUGAUUAUCAGACAACACAUUGGCAGUGAGUUCAUCUGCUCUACUCUGCUUUGGAAUAACACAUGUGAUUAACCAGAUAGGCAUUUUCCAAAAACAAACUAUGUCACUGAAGAAUGCAAGACUGUUUCUUUAGAGCCUUCCAUGCUUAACUUGAAAGCUGUCAACCCAGGAGGCUGAAACAGAGCUAGAUUAUGAAUCCUGAGUGAAUAGCUCAUUCUUUGCGCCCAUGCUUUUGCUGCAUGCUGCCAUGUGGUACAAGGCUGAGAGGUAUGCACUAUGAUAGCUAAUGAAGCACUUCCUUUAUAUCGCACUGACCAGAACUCUUACUUGAAGCCCGUAUAUUAUGCCACUGAAAUCUCACAAUGUGAGCUUUUGUUCUGGCUAGCAGAGGCAGUUGCUUGUCCUUUCUGUAGCUAAAUUUCAUGCACCAAAGUUGUUAGACCCUUUACUAAUAUGUGUAGGUCUAAGUCAUAAAACCAGCUUCUGCUAUGUUUGCAAGAAUGUUUUGUUUUGUUUUGUCUGCCUUUUCAAUGCAGCAUCCCCUAAAGCCAAUCAUUUGUAAUUUUGAGGCCAUUGAGAGAUAAAAGGCUUGAAGUAAAAGUCAUCGGCCCUCCUGAACUCACUCAUCUAUGUCAAAUAUAGUGAUACAGUUAACAUUCUAAGAACAGAGAUUGAGAAGAAACUUAAUUUAGGAUGAAAAGAAUGGCAUCAGAUGGACCAAAAUUAAUUACACUGUGUAAUCCUCGAUGUAACUGAGAAAUAUUCAAUGUGACCCAUUUGUUAUAUUUAAACAUAUUAUUAUCAUAAGGUAUUAUGUAAUUAGGGCCUCCUUUCCUGGACUGUGGUUAGAUUUUGUGUCUCAUUGCAUGCUUUCAGAAAGUGACCUAAAGAACAAUACAUAGUGAUUGUCAUAACAAUCUAUGAAAUAUAGGCUUCGGUUAACCAAAAUGCAAAUAUCAAAUAUUUAAAAGUUCCUCAAAACUUAUAAAUUUUUAAAUGAAAAAAUUAUGAACCACAUUCUCAAACUUGAGGUGUAUCAAGUCCUUCAGGGAGUCCUCCAUGGUUCCUUCCUCUCCCUCAUUGAACACAUCCCAUCAGUCACAAAAUACCAUAACUACACAUCCCCAAACUGGCGGCUUCUCUUCAAUCCCUUCUCCAAGCCCUUGGUAUCAGUAGCCACCAUUUUUCACUGUGUGAAAGCUGAUUUUACAAAUUGGGUCAUUCUUGUAAUAUUCAGGUAAAACAGAAUAGAAGAACCAGGGAGAAAGCACUCAAGACAUAUAGCACCUGCUCCAAGAAUUAAAUCUUCCACAAGCCCAGCUGCUGAAACUGCCCAUUGGAACAUGAAACCAGUUUUUCUCUCAUAGCUACUGAAACAACCUGCUAUGAGUCUAAGGCCAGUUUUAACCACCACUGUCACUCAUGAAUCAGAGCUUGCCAGCUCCCCAGAAUUUUACUAGUGCCAAUGAACUUUCUGGAAAAACAAUAUGUAACAUUUUUCCUUUUAGAAAACCUCCAACCUUCUCCUUGUUCUUUAGACAAAGAUCAUCUGGUUUGUGUGUAUGCCCCGAGUUGCAAUUCUUGCUUCCCAAAUAAAAUUUAGAGAUUUGUCUCUAGAUUGCAUUUAACUUAGACACCUGGAUCUAACACACCUAUUAUUUUAGCUUGUUUUCAGACUGCUAUAAAGAGAUACCCAAGACUGGGUAAUUUUAAAGGAAAGAAGUUUAAUUGACUCACAGUUCCACCUGGCUGGGGAGGCCUCAGGAAACUUAUAAUCAUGGCAGAAGGUGAAGGGGUAACAGGCACCU
rnacentral:lncRNA from 1 species